rnacentral:tRNA from 1 species
GACGGUAUCACUCAGCGGUAGAGUGCACAUUUAGCAUGCAUGAGGGUCCUGGGUUCAAUUCCCAGUACCUCCA